AAAGACUUUACAACACACACAUUGACAGAAACGAUCUUAAUGCCAUUUCCGACAUUCAGCGGAAUUUAAGUGCGAUAGGAAUCCACCUCACAGCUGAUGAGAUACAGAGGGCGCUGGAUGGCUCUGCUGGUGAUGUGAUACAGCUUAAGGAUAUCAUCAGAGAACUAGCCAAUGAUGAUAUAUUUAGUGAGUGCCAAAGAAUAGAGGACGCAUAUAACAUUUGCAAAAACACUGAGGGCAAAGCUGACAUUAAAGAAAUUCUGUCUAUCUUGGAGAGCUUCAAGAAAUCUUUACAGGAGGAAGGGCAGCCUGAGGUGUUUCCG